AACGAACGCUGGCGGCAUGCCUAACACAUGCAAGUCGAACGAGACCUUCGGGUCUAGUGGCGCACGGGUGCGUAACGCGUGAGAACCUGCCCUUAGGUUCGGAAUAACUCCCCGAAAGGGGUGCUAAUACCGGAUAAUGUCUUCGGACCAAAGAUUUAUCGCCUUUGGAUGGGCCCGCGUUGGAUUAGCUAGUUGGUAGGGUAAAAGCCUACCAAGGCGACGAUCCAUAGCUGGUCUGAGAGGAUGAUCAGCCACACUGGGACUGAGACACGGCCCAGACUCCUACGGGAGGCAGCAGUGGGGAAUACUGGACAAUGGGCGAAAGCCUGAUCCAGCAAUGCCGCGUGAGUGAUGAAGGCCUUAGGGUUGUAAAGCUCUUUUACCCGGGAUGAUAAUGACAGUACCGGGAGAAUAAGCUCCGGCUAACUCCGUG
rnacentral:rRNA from 1 species